CCCGGCGCUGCCAGGAGGGGAGGAGGGAGCGAGGGGAGGGACGGAGGGAGCGGGGGCCGGCCGGCGGGCGGGGCGGGCCCCGUGGGGCGGCCCCAAGUGGAGAGCGGAGCCCGGCAGACCCCGCGGGCUGCGCCGGGCCUGGGGGAGUGCAGUGCGGAGCUCCUCCCGCUCCCCCGCCUCGGCGGCUCCUCCGGCCGCAGCGGGUGCGGGAAAAGCGCCGCUCCCGGCCGGGCUCAGCUGGGGGCAGGGCCGAGGAAUGCCCCGGGGGCGGCGAUAACGCGCCGCUGUUGUGUUUUCCUUCUUCGGACGGAAGUUAAAGGAAGGAGCCCCAGGAAGGCGAGAGGAGGUCACGAUCGAGGCAUCAGAUCCUUCUCGUGGCUGUACCCAGCACCUUCGGGACUCGGCGUGCAGGGGUGAACCAGAGAAAGGUGACGUUUUUUACCCCAAACCUCGAAAACCCAGCUCCUUCCCGCUCUCCUUCCAGGUACAAGAAGCGAUUCUCCCACAGCUGGAACAGAACCGCUCAGCUCAGACGCACUGGAGUCAAAACCUACAGGGAAGGUGGAACGUGUGUAGUUGAUGGCAGAGAAAGCCAUCAUUACAGAAGACACACGUGGCUGCCACAGAUUACACAUGAUGAAUCUUUACAUCUUUUCACCAUGUAGAAGCCUCCUGGCUUCAAGAGGAGCACAUAAAUACAGUCUCAAAGAUAGAAAGUCCUCAGGGAACAAAACUAGAAUUAUGGCCAGAGUAUGUAACUCAGCUUUCAGCAGUUUCACAACUUAGAGCAAUGAAGAUUUCACUAAGCUCAAGUGCACUGCAAUUCAAGCUGAUGGAGUCCCUUUAAAGGUAAGUGUACUUAUGUAUACAUUCAGCAUAUUUUGAUCUGGGCCCAGACAUCUUUUCUGUGUCUAAAGAUUAUGAACCAAACCAGAACCAUCUGCAUGUAAGGCUUUACCCUCCACUGACCUGCACAUGUACCCCCCUUGUAGUACUCCAGUACAAGACACAUCUCCCACCAUCUCUGAGUACUUGGAGUCAAAGUCUCCUAAAAGUGCACUUCAGAUAACAAGAAUAACUGAACAUUGUUAAUGAAAAACCUCUUACAGAUUUAUGUAUAAUACAUUUACUCAACAUGCAUCUGCCAUGCACAAUUCCUGCUGAUAAAGGAUUAUCAGAGUUCUUGCAUGGACUGACUCGCUGGAAGCAAUUCCAUUCCAGCCACUAAGACUUCAUCAUGUCUGGGAUGUGACAGAAAAGCCCUGGUGACACUGAACAGAUUCUUCUCCUGAAUCACUGCACAAAUAACCUCCUCAGUCCUACCCAUUAACUGACCAUGACCCAUAACCUUUAUCUACCAAUAUGGAAGAGCCAGUUCCCACUCCGAAUGAAAUUUCAUGUAGUAAUUUUUCAGCUGAAAACCAAACUAUGGGAAAAUGCCUUUCCUUUGAGAACAGCAGAACAAGAGUAGGGAUUGUUGCAGCCUCAAAAUGAAUUUCCUUCCCUGGGGCAAAGAGCUAGGCUGGUAAUUAAUUACAUUUUCUCUAAGAGUCAGACAAAAGAUGAUAAGAAGCAGUGCUUUCAUAACUGAAGGGAAGGACAAGAGAUUGUGGUUCGUGAUAUUUCUGUCCUCCUAUACAGCCUCAUCACAUCAAGAAAAACAAAGGCAAACCCCAGCAAUAUUCAGGCUGCUACAGCCAAUUCCACAGUUACAGACCAUGUUAUCCUCUCUUGCACUUUACAAUUAGUUUGCCAGUAUUAGUCUCUUUGUAUAACACUACCAAAUGCCCUGGGGCAAAAUAAGUGUUUUUUCAUAUGACUUCCAGAAUACCAUUACAAUAAAUAUAUCUUUAUUCUGGACCAUCUUUUACUUGAAUAAUCAUCAUAAGCAUUAUGAUGAUUAUUCAAGUAAACUUAGUAAAUAUGUAACUUUCAAUUUUGCUUAAAGCUUUAUCAAGGAGCUCACCUCUGUCUCCUAGGGGCUCUAGAUUAUUGCAUAAUUACUAGUGAUAGUAUUUGCAAGAACAAGGAUAUUGAUAAUUAAAAGCAUAGCCAACAGGACUCCAAGGAGUUAUUGGCAGAACUCAUUCUAUUAAUGCAUAAAAGAAAAAUAGCUUAAUGGCAUAAUUUCUAACCUUGAGCCAUUUAGAAUGUUUAUAUAAUACUUGUUUGCAGACUAAUCCAGCAGCAAUUAUUUGCACUUCCUUCUACCCCAGAGCAAUGGGGAAAAGAUCAGAGUUUGAACUUUCACAGGUAUUUUCAAAUGCAGUCAAACUACGGUUAUGGAUUUUGUAUGUCUUUUAAUUCUCUUUUAGGAAAUACAGAACUAUUUUCCAGGGUGAUAACACUGAGAAACACACUCAGACUUUUGAAAGCCAUACUAGCAUUUUGAAACAUUGAAAAACUUUCUUUUCAUCCAGAUAGAGUCUGAGUAAAGGAUAUUGUAGCGAGAACACUGUAGGGGUCCAAAUUACUUUAAUGUGCAAUGAAUUCAAGUGGAAAAAAAUGUUCUUGACAGUGUUUUCUGAGACAUUCAGCACAUUAAGAACAACAUUUAUGAAUUAACAAUCCACAACCUGAACUGGAAGCACAGGGAAUCUGACUUAUGUGGACACGGUGUGAGCACUAACCUGAAAAUCCAGAAUGUCAAUAUCCAUCUCUUCAAACAGUUCAGCUAUAAAAGGGUUUUUCCCACCAUUGUCUUCAUGUAAGGCAUUUACUUUCUCUUAAGUCUGAAGCCACUUGAAGAGAGAAUGACUCAGAGAUGUGAUAUUACAAAAUACCUGAGAUGAAACAGGAAGGACUCUGAGGUGGCAGCGGCUGGGCAGUGGAUGUGCCCAGAAUGGUGACAGUGCUGACCAUUAAGAAACAAUUCUCAGUGAUGAUGGGGUGAAGAUGACCUGUAGUCAUGUUCAGAAAUUAAAUUACAGCAGAACACACAGUCCUGUACCUCCAAAGUUCUGCAGACCUAAGCACUCAAGGAGUUUAAUGGUGCCAUACUAUUGACUUCUGGGUCUCCAAGAGUACAUGAAUGCUUUCAUGGCCACUCCCAGGACUCCAUGUUAACACUGACCUUCAUAGUCAAUGUUAACACUUAAACAGAGGUCCCAUCUUUUGAUGCUAAUGCUACUAGAGAAAACUAGAAAUCUUGGCAGAGAGAGCCAAAAGUAAUUAAUUAAAGGAAUUUGUUCUCCUGUUCUUCAGUCAAACUUUUAAAAAAUCUAAACAAAUUGAAGAAUCGUCUUUAUGGAAUCUUACAGAACAAUGCCCAGAGCAGGAUCUAGCUGCUGUACAAAAUAAUUUCAUAUAAAGUAUUUGAGUAUUUACUAGCUUACUGAAACAUGUAAUACUAAAUUUCAAACAACAUUCAUACAAAAACCAUAUAACCAUUAUUUACUUAGUUAGGAGUUCUGUUUUACCACCCUGUCACAGCAGCAAGGCAGUCAUUUCUUCUGUUAACUCCUGCCGAGAGCCAAAAAUCUCAUCUCUGUUUACAGUAGGUCCAAUUUUUGGUACUUGUUAUAGUAUCUGGGAGAAAAAAAAGUGAUAAAUAACUAUCAAUAAAGUGGUACAUUCUCACAAGUAAAAGAAAGCUCAAUGAUCUGACCAGCUGUUCAGAUGUUCACUAGAUAUAUCCAAUGCUAGCAUUUCUGUGGAAGAAUCUGGAUUUUGCAGGUCUCAUUUACCAGUGAGGAGAGGACCAUAAUGUUGAGUAUAUGUACAUUUCUAAUGAAAACCAGCAUCAUCUGAAAGACUCCUUGAGCAGAGAAUAAAACAGCCAGCAUAAAUCACCCACCAUAGUGGGGUCUGAUUCCUGAUACCAGGAUCCUCUAGAAAAGGAGUAAGAAAACCAAACUUUUGCUCUGACAACACUACUUGCUGAUUUGUGAUUCACUUGCCCACCAAGUACAACCUGUCUUCUGUACUACCACAAUUUGCCUGGGCACAAGACCUAGCACAAUCCCAGUUCUUUGAUCUGCACAGAAGCGUCAGAUGAGUGUCAUUAAUUAAUACAUACACACACACUUACAAGCACUUCCCUGCAUUCUAGAUACUGCAUGUAACUGGUAAUAAAGUAGAAAGACAUUUAGACCUAACAGACAGCAAAUGAAAAUUUUUGUGUAUUCAGUAUUUUUGAAAGCUGCCACAUUUAUGCAGUAUCUCUGUAUUGAAUUAAAACAGAGUAAGUGACACACAACUUGCAGGAAACUUGUAGAAGAACUACUUUAAACUUUGGAACACACGUGCCAUCCAGUGGUACACCAAGAAACUUCAUGAGAGAUGGGAAAGGGAGAGGCUUUUACCUCUGUGUUAAGUGAUGAGACAGUUUUGUUCACAGUUCUUAUUUUUGUUCAACAAAAAACAAGGAAGUGAAUAAAGGAGUUUUCCCUAUGUUAAGGGUUUCAGGAGAAAAGAACAGAAACCUUAUGAGAAACUGGUAAUUUUUGAAGAAAAAUAUUACUGAUAACUGGAACUACUUUAGUGGAGGGGUGGUGGUGAAUACCAAAGUUUAACUCACGCUUACUCACCCUAGAAAUAAAGCACAGAAUUAUAUUAAAGUCUUAAUUCUGAAGUAGCCUAUGACUGUAUUAAUUCCUAUGCUAAAGAUACUUGGAGGAGAAAAUGCUAGUGCUAUUUUAUUACAGUACUGUUGCACAAGAACACUAUUAAGCCAGAGAGUUGAAGUUCUCUGCAUUUUUUACUCUUUUUAGCCUUGUGAUUUUUCCAAAUAUUCACACUUUAAGAAAAAGCCCAACAACCUUUAAACACUCAACUAACAGUUAGCAUCUGCACAGUGUAUCUACACUAUAUAUACAGGAAUACAGAACCAGGUGUACACCCCUUUACCGUUAGGCACUCCUUUGGGACGGCGGAACUUCUUAGAUCGGACUGGAACUUGCUGGAGCCGGGAAGGCCUCGGGUCUGGUGACAGUCUAACGAUGGAGCAGAUUUCUCGUCUGUCACACUGAGGCUGAAAAGAUUCAUGAGAUCUUAUUCACACAACCACUCCCAAUGAAGAAAUGUUCUUUUAGCUUUCUUCCAGAGAAAUUAGAGAUUACACGCAGAUUUCAAGGCAUGUCACUAGAAAACAUUUAAGGCUACUUGUGUACAUUCAAUAUACUAUUGGAAAGGGUGAUAGAAAGCUUCAAAGCUUUAAACAUUCUCUUUAGCAGUUUUGAUACUCUAAGGACUAAAUAUACAGUACAGUAGAAAUUAGCAUGACAAAACUGGAUUUAAAAAAUGCAAUAAAAUCAGAACCUUUAAAAUAUUCUUUUCUUCUGGACUCUGAGGAAUAAUUUCGUUUUCUGAGCUCAGAGAUGCAGGAACAAUUUCUUCUGAGUUUACAAAUGGACCUUUGGUAUUCAGGAACAGGUCUUCCCCAGGUGAGGCUUUACACACUGGCGACAAGCUAAGCUACAGUUCCAUCAAAAUACAAAAUAUAUAGGUAUACCUGCCCAGUUAAAUAACAGACAACUCAGAUUGGCUAAUGCUUGUUGGCUCAUGCAAAAGAUAUUCUGUUGCUUAAAAAAAACUAUUUAGGGAUUCACCAAGGCACUGAUGUUCUCUAUUUAUUAAUCUAGUAUGCACUAGCUCAAGUGCGAAGAGACAAGUGGCAGCACUGUACUACCUGUACAGCCAAAGAAUUCAAACAUUUAAAUAUCAAUUUUGAAUCAAAGAGUUUAUGCAAGUACAGAUCCUAGUACUGGUUUUACAUUACAUUUGUAAAAAUACAAAACAAAUUCCUAGAUUGGAUUUUUGAGUUUUUUAAUUAUCCAGAAUUUAUUCAUUUGUUCUGCAAUUUGCAGUGUAACAUAUAUAGGCAGAAAUGGAAUGUGCCACAAGGAAUGAUUUCUUUGGUUUUAAUAAUU